GAGUUUGAUCGUGGCUCAGGACGAACGCUGGCGGCGUGCUUAACACAUGCAAGUCGAACGGAAAGGCCCUUCGGGGUACUCGAGUGGCGAACGGGUGAGUAACACGUGGGUGAUCUGCCCUGCACUUUGGGAUAAGCCUGGGAAACUGGGUCUAAUACCGAAUAUGAUCAUCGGCUUCAUGGUCGGUGGUGGAAAGCUUUUGCGGUGUGGGAUGGGCCCGCGGCCUAUCAGCUUGUUGGUGGGGUAAUGGCCUACCAAGGCGACGACGGGUAGCCGGCCUGAGAGGGUGACCGGCCACACUGGGACUGAGAUACGGCCCAGACUCCUACGGGAGGCAGCAGUGGGGAAUAUUGCACAAUGGGCGCAAGCCUGAUGCAGCGACGCCGCGUGAGGGAUGACGG
rnacentral:rRNA from 1 species